UAGCCACGACGGCUGGAGCUGGGCCACUCUGAAGCCUGGAGCCAGGAGCUUCUUCAGGGUCUCCCUCACAGGUGCAGAGGCCUGAGGACUGGGCCAUCUUCUACUGCUUUCCCAGGCCAUAGCAUAGAGCUUAUUUGGAAGUGGAGCAGCCAGAAUUCAAAUCGGUGCCCAUAUGAGAUGCUGGCACUGCAGGCGGCGGCUUUACCCGCUAUGCCACAGUGCCAGCCCCCCUGCCCUAUCCUUAUUUGAGCCUCUCAUCAGCUGAGUCUUAUGGGAGCCACUAGAGAUAAGAAGGAUAACCAGUGAUGACAGGAAGAUGGAAUUUCUAAAGGUUGAGAACUUAGAUGUGGACGAAAGGAAGAAGCAGAUGGUUCAGGCGUGUUUAUUGCAGAUUCCAGUUUUAAUAUUGGAGCAAGCAUUUGGCCUAACACGUAAGAUCAGUUAAGAUGCUCAUGUUCUGUAUCAGAGGGUCUGGUUUUCAUCAGACCCCGGGGGAGAGCAGAUGAUGGCCCGAGGAACUGGGUCCCUGCCAUCCAUGUGGAUCUGGAUUGACUUCCUGAUUCCCUGGCCCUGGCCCAACCCCCAACCAUUGUGGACAUUUUGGGUAUAAACCAGCAGAUGGGAGCUCUCUCUGUCUCUCAUAUCUCUAGCUCUAUUUCUGUCCUUCUCAAAUAAAUAUGUAUAAGUAAAAAAUAAAAGCUUUUCUAUAUCCAUGAAACUGCUGCCUAAAAUUCUACCUGUACCUGCUAUUAAGGGUCCAUGGUUUGUGCACAGACUUGGGAUGAAUGAAUACAAUCAAAGGCUUUUAGCAUGGAGUCAGGAUCAGCUGUGGCCCUCAGCAUUGGUGCAUAUUAGAAUCACCUGUGAUAUCACUCCAGUCAACAGAAUGAAAAUAUUUGAGGGUGACUCCUAUGCAUCUUUAAAUAUCCCAGCAUUGUUAUUUUAUUAUUAUUAUUAAGUACAGUGAAGUUAGAGAACCAAGGAAAUACACUGAAGGAAUGGAGUUUUGAUUUAGGUCCGGGACAAGGCUGGGAACAGAUGGGGCAUGGAGCUACUACAACCCAGAAAAAGGGACACUCUCCCUCCAGUAUGCACAGAGUGGUUAUGUGAGCUAACGUGACCUGGGGAUUGUGUAGGAGUAGGACUCAGCCCAUAUCUUCAAGGGGUUUGUAAAUAAAGGCUCCGUGGAGGAAGUGCUAAGAUGGGCCUUGCACACAGACUUAGAUGUAGCUGAUGCAUGUAGGCAAGGAAAGAGCACAGUGACUGAGCACCCUGCUGAACCUGAUGCCCAGUGUAAACAGGCCCCUGGCCAAUGGGUGCCAGAACCACUCCCGGCAUUACCCACUCCACCUACCUAAGGAAAGAAAACUGCUUCCCCCUUCCUCUUUCCAUGUAACCAAGUCGUUAUAGCUGUCAUUUCAUAGGCAGAAAAUAUCCUGUAAUUAUGAGAAACUAGAAUAAGCCCUCCCCUUUUGAGCGACAGAUUUUUCCCAUUUUUAUGUAGUUAUGUCACUAAUAAGGUUAGUGUUUGCAAAUUAUUUUUUUCUGUUUUGUUAUAUUUUCUUGGAAAUAUAUUAACAAAAGAGUAGACCAGUAAUUCUGGUAAGAUUUCACAUUCGUUCUAAACUCACCUGAAUGUGAAAAGUCCUUGGUGUUUAUUUUGUAAAUCAAGAUAAAACAAAUUGGGUGGAUUUAAUCGCAGUGUAGCUAGGGUUGCCUUAUAAAGAGGAAAUUAAAAUCCCCGUCUCUCCCUCUCAUUUCCUCCCUUGUGAGCAUGUGUGGGGCACACACACACACACACACACUGAGAAGAGAUGUGUAAUAUCCAGUUCUAUAUCAGAGUACACUUGGGAUGGAACCGUUUUCGUGCAGGAGUUGAGUCCUUGUGGAGUGACUGAACUUGCAAAAUGCCUGCGUUCCAUUGUAUCUCCUUGGGGACAGGACUCUCUGUUGUGUCCAAAGACAAAAUUACCACAGAUUUAGCUGAAAAAUCUUAAUUGGCUUUUAUUUGUGACUGUGGAGUUAGGCAGCCUCUCAUUGUACAAAACAGAAGAGUAUUCCAAUGAGCGAGCAUAGGAGGCAGGUUUGAUAGACGGGGAAGUGCUGAGAAGACCAGAAAAGCAGACUGGUCAUUUCCAAAUUACUUUCCUUGGGAGGAUUAAGGCAGAGGGACUUCCUUAUCGCACGAGCUAAAAUUAACUUGUUCGGGGACUUGCCUGUUAUCUCUCUCUUCCGGUUUCCUGCAGUCUUAUGAACAACCUCGUUUUGGCAUGGUCACGUGGGGCUUCAGCAGGCAUGACUCGAUUGUGGUUUGAUCUGUUGCACUGAGUGCAGAAGCUCUGUGCAAACCAGCGGCCUCCUGUGCAGCCUAACAGGUGUCGAAAAUGGCAUUAGUCAAGUUAUAACUGGAAGAACCUAUCAUACAUAGAAAAGAACAGGGCCGGGCUGGUGCCGUGGCUCAAUAGGCUAUUCCUCCGCCUUGUGGCGCCGGCACACCGGGUUCUAGUCCCGGUCAGGGCGCCGGAUUCUGUCCUGGUUGCCCCUCUUCCAGGACAGCUCUCUGCUAUGGCCCGAGAGUGCAGUGGAGGAUGAGGGCCCUGCACCCCAUGGGAGACCAGGAGAAGCACCUGGUUCCUGGCUUCGGAUCAGCGUGCCGGCCGCGGCAGCCAUUGGAGGGGGAACCAACAGCAAAGUGAAGACCUUUCUCUCUGUCUCUCUCUCUCUCUCUCACUAUCCACUCUGCCUGUCAAAAUUUAAAAAAAAAAAAGAAAGAAAAGAACAGGGCCAUGAACUUGAACUGAAAGAUGGCACGAGGUGUGGGCAUCACAGCAGCUACAGCGUGGCUUAUGGAAGCUGCCGGAGAGAGUCCUUCUGCCCUUCUCAUGAUUGACAAUCAUAUUCUUUUUUUUUUUUUUUUUUUUAAGGCAAACAGAGCUAGGGUAAUCUGAUUUGUCUAUAGCUGGAUGGUUCAAUUUCAUUGACUCCUGCUGAUAAGGACAAAAGCUUAUGUCUGUGUUUUGGUUGUGCUCAGGUUAGCUGUAAUCAGAGUUACUUAGGUUUCCUUUACGUGGCUAUAGGCAGUUAGCCUUGGGAAUCCACUGUGGCUUCCAUUUCUAUCUACCAUUGUUUUUUUUUUUAAAGAUUUAUUUAUUGAAAGAGUUACACAGAGAGAGGAGAGGCAGAGAGAGAGAGAGAGAGAGGUCUUCCAUCCACUGGUUCACUCCCCAGAUGGCCACAACGGCCAGAGCUGUGCAGAUUAAAGCCAGGAGCCAGGAGCUUCUUCAAGUCUCCCGCAGGUGCAGGGGCCCAAGGACUUGGGCCAUCUUCUACUGCUUUCCCAGGCCACAGCAAAGAGCUUCUACCAUUGUUUUAACACUAGUCACCCUCAGAGAGAUUCUCGUCCUCAAAUCACCUCCAGGGAUGAUGGCUCCUGUCUUGUCUGUGGAGUUGUCCCUAGUUGGGUCUGUACUUGGAAGAGCCUUCCCCAAGCUAUGAUGGCUGUGGGGGUGAAAGGACAUUCAGAUCCCUGGGAAACCAGCAUCCAGCACCACAAUCCAGGCAAGGAUUUAAAAUCACAUUUAAAAGUGCUCCAGAAGGGGCCGGUGCUGUGGCAUAGUGGGUAAAGCUGCUGCCUUCAGUGCUAGCAUCCCAUAUGGGUGCCGGUUCGAGUCCUGGCUGCUCCACUUUUUUUUUUUUAAAGAUUUUUUAUUUAUUUAUUUAUUUGAGAGGUAGAGUUACAGUGAGAGGGAGAGACAGAAAGAAAGGUCUUCCUUCCAUUGGUUCACUCCCCAAAUGGCCGCUACGGCCGGUGCACUGCGCCAAUCUGAAGCCAGGAGCCAGGUGGUUCUUCCCAGUUUCCCACGCGGGUGCAGGUGCCCAAGCACUUGGGCCAUCCUCCACUGCCUUCCCAGGCCACAGCAGAGAGCUGGAAGAGGAGCAACCGGGACUAGAACCCGGUGCCCAUAUGGGAUGCUGGCGCCGCAGGCAGAAGAUUAGACAAGUGAGCCACUUUGCCAGCCCCUGCUCCACUUCUGAUCCAGCUCUCUGCUCUGGCCUGGGAAAGCAAUAGAAGAUGGCCCAAGUCCUUGGGCCCCUGCACCCAUGUAGGAAACCCAGAAGAAGCUCUGGCUCCUGGCUCCUGAUCGGCACAGCUCCAGCCAUGGCAUUCAUCUGGAGAGUGAACCAGCAGGUGGAUGACUUCUCUCUCUCUCUCUCUCUCUCUCCCUCUCUCUGUAACUCUGCCUUUCAAAUAAAUCUUUUUAAAAAAUUGCUCCAGAAAAAUGUAAUUUUGCAAGUUUGACCCUUGCAGUUUGGAUGAUCCACCAUGCCCCAGAUACUGAUUAACUGAAAGGUCCCCCUUACAGCUGUAAGCGCUGACACAGAGCCGUUGGAUGUGCUUCCUAAAGCAGAUUAGUUCCUUGUGAGACACUGUCCCUGAGGUGCUGUUUGAUGCCUUCAGGUAGAUCUUUCAGGUCCUCUCUCUAGCAAAGCUGCUAUCGCAGUAUCCUCAUUAUCACCUUAUUUGAAAACUUGAGGCUUCUAAAGCAGGAUGAAUUAGCUUAACCCCACCAGACAGAAACCCGCAGGCAAUGCAGCAGGGAGGUACCAGUGGUGCCCCUAUCUGGGUCAGACCCGCUGCCAGCCCGACUGGCUCCUGGGGAAACGUGCAUCCCGACUGGAGGCAGAUUGGCUAAGCCCCAUGCAGCUGCCACCACAGCCUCUCCCUGCUGCUCACAGCUUUGACUGUGCAUGUGUGGUGAAGGUUUCUCGUUAUGGCGCUCUCAGCCUCCCCAGCUGCUCUCCUCUAGUUCACCUGCCACUGCCCCUAGGCCUAGUGCUGGGGGACGGAACUGCCCUACGCCCCUGUCCUCGGCCUUAUGUCCUGCAUCUCUGGAGUUCCUUGCAGCCUCUGCUCGGGCCAUUCCUGCCCAAGCCAGGCUCCCAGGCGUUUAAUUUUCCUCCCUACCUUCCUCCCAAUUUCAGAUGGACUUAGCCUUUUUUAUUUUUUAUUUUUUAUUAAUUAAUUUAAUGCUAAAAAUGAAAUGUUUUGGAGGAGAAAUCACCAGAGCAUUAUUUUUUUUACCAAAGUUUCCCAGGCAUUGUACAGAAAUCUAAGGUUAAAUCAGCAUCUGGAUUAAAGUUGGCUGAAAUGCAGCAAAACCAAGCCAUAAAUAUUUGCUGUAAUAUAAAGGAAAUACUAAUAAUUUUGGGAGAUUUGACAUAAAAGUAGGAUAGAAAUCUAAAUUUGUGUUGGUAAGGGCUGAAUUCUUAGUUAUUACAUUAAGGUACUUACUGUCUAGCAUGAAUUUUUUCUGUCUAUUCUCAUUCCUAACUAGCAAUUCACACUUACAUGUAUAUCAGUGGAAGUGUAUUCUGAGAUGGUUUUACCCUUCAUGGUUGCACAUAAAAUUUGUCUUCCAAGUUUAAAAAAAAUUUUUUUUUAUUUGAGGGGCAGAUAGAGACAGGGUACUCCCAUUGGUUCAUUCACUUCCCAGAUACAGUGGCUAGGGCUGGGCCUGGCAGAAAACAAGAGUCAAGCAUGUAAUUCAGGUCUCCCACAUGCUAUCCAGGACUCCCAUGUGCAAUCCUGGUCUCCCACAUGUCAUCCAGGUCUCCCACGUGUCAUCCAGGUCUCCCAUGUGUAAUCCAGGUCUCUCAUGUGUCAUCCAGGUCUCCCACAUGUCAUCCAGGUCUCCCACGUGCAAUCCUGGUCUCCCAUGUGUCAUCCUGGUCUCCCAUGUGUAAUCCAGGUCUCUCAUGUGUCAUCUAGGUCUCCCACGUGUCAUCCAGGUCUCCCACGUGUAAACCAGGUCUCCCCCAUGUAACCCAGGUCUCCCAUGUACCAUCCAAGUCUUCUACAUGUCAUCCAAGUCUCCCACAUGUCAUCCAGGCCUCCCACAUGUAAUCCAGGUCUUUCAAUGACAUGAGCCAUCACUGCUGCCUCCCAGGCUCUGCAUUAGCAGGAAGCGGGGGUCAGGAGCUGGAAGCUGGUAUGGAACCUAGCCAUUCCAACAUGCACUCUAGGCCAGUGCCUGCUCCUAUCUUUUGGUCAUGUUAUUACUGGCCCUUAGAUUCCACAAGGCUUAGUACUUCCUCAACCCUGCCCCCAUGGGAUGUUUUUCUUUGUUCAAACUGUUCAAAAAGUGUUAAUAUUUUCAUUUCGCUUAUUUUUAAAAAUGAGUUAAUGUUUUAUUUAUUUGAACGGCAGAGAGACAGAGACUGAAAAAGAGAGAUCUGCUUUCUGCUGGGUCACUUCCCAAAUGCUUGCAACAGCUGGCACUGGGCCAGGCCAAAGCCAGGAGCCAGGAGCUCCAUCCGGGUCUCCCGUGUGGGCACCAGGAGCCAAAGUACCUGAGCCAGAUCUGCUGCCUUCCAGGGUGCACAUGAACAGGAAGCUAGAGUCAGAGGCAGAGGCAGGACUCAAACCCAGGUAUUCCAAUCUGGCGUGCAGGUGUCCCAAGCGGCAUCGUAACUGCUACACCGUAUGCCUGCCCCUCCUCCCCACCCCAUAUCUUCAUUUUAUAGGGUAGGAAAUUGAGGUUCAGAAUUUCAAGUGAUUUCCUAAGCAUUCAGCUGGUGGGGACAGAGCUGAGUCUUAAGUUCUUCCCAUAUAUAUAUAGGGUGUGGGUUUACCAUGGCUUCACUACCCAUACCACCAAGAGUUUGCUUUCCCAGUUUUAAUUUGGUAAACUGAAAAAUCAGAUAAAAUAGCUGUAUUCUCCCAAUUCUAUUUGAUUUCCUUACAAAACUAUUAUCGAUGCCAGUAUGAACCUGUCCAAACACAGGUCAGAGUGUAAUUAUAUUAUGGUACAGUGUGAUGUUACUCAAUCUUAGACUAUACCCAUUGUGAUUGGGUUCAGGUCAAUUCCAAAACCAGAGUAACUUGUUCAUUUCUCUCUUAGACAGAGUCUUGAGGUGAAUAUUAAGGGGUGGGUGUGGCCCUGCACCACAGUUCUCGGGGACCCAGGCACUGUCCUACCACCCCAAGACAGACCCUCCUCCAAGGUGGCAGCUAGUGCAGCAGUCAUCAUAUCUACAUUCCAGGUAGCAGAGUAGAGGGAAGAAUGAGCAGAGAAGCAGAGAGAACAGGUAAGCUCCCUUUGGGGGAGAGUUUCAGGAACUGUGUGGACCUCACUUUACAUCUCCCUGAACAGAACUGUCACAAGACAAACUUAGCCACAAGGGGCACUGAGAAAGGUGCUUUUAUGUUAUUACUAUUACGGCGUCCUCGCCCUGAUAUGAUGUUAUGACUGUGGCAGAAGGAGAGAAAGUACACAAACAGCCAGCGGCUUAGGGCCCCCAAGGCAUCAACAGUAAGAGUGGGUUAACACUUCUAUCCCAUGAGGUGAGUGACAGCCAAGGAUCUAGCAGGGGAUUUGGGAGAACAGCAUGGGGGCUCGGUAAGGGUUAAUUCCCUUACAUUUUUUUUUUUUUUUGACAGAUAGAGCCAGACAGUGAGAGAGAGAGAGACAGAGAGAAAGGUCUUCCUUCCGUUGGUUCACUCCCCAAAUGGCCACCAUGGCCAGCGCUGCGCUGAUCCAAAGCAAGGAGCCAGGUGCUUCUUCCUGGUCUCCCUUGUGGGUGCAGGUGCCCAAGCACUUGGGCCAUCCUCCACUGCCUUCCCAGGCCACAGCAGAGAGCUGGACUGGAAGAGGAGCAACUGGGACUAGAACUCGGCGCCCACAUGGGAUGCUGGCGCUGCAGGCGGAGGAUUAACCAAGUGAGCCACGGUGCCAGCCCCUCCCUUACAUUUAAGAUUAGAUUCUGCUGACUUCCUUCCAUUCCUGGCUUCACAAGAAGCUGUCAAGUGCAGACAGCAAGAUCACAAAAAUAAUGUACAUUUUCUGAUUUGCAAAAAAACAAAAGCAUUUCUAAGUAAACCAAUUAAAAGACAGACUAGAAAAAAACAUAAACAAGGAAGACUCAGGGGCUGGUGUUAUAGCAUAUGGGGUUAAGCUGCUGCCUGUGGUGUAGGCAUCCAUUAUGGGCACCCCUUUGAGUCCUGGCUGCUCCAGUUCCGAUCCAGCUCACUGCUUGGGCCCCUGCCACCGACGUGGCAGACCUGGAUGGAGUUCCAGGCUCCUGGCUUCAGCCUGGCCCAGUCCUGACCAUUGUGGCCAUUUGGGGAGUGAACUAUCUCUUAAAAAAAGGAAGACUCAGCUAUAUGCUGCCUAAAAGAAACCCACUUCAAAUAGAAAGACAAGUCAAAUGGAUGUUCUAUGCUAACACCUGUCAAAAGAAAACAGAGGGUCUGUCCUCAUUAUCAGACAAAGUGGACCUCAAGGACGGGAGUUUGGCUCAGUGGCAAACGCACUGCUUGGGACCCCCACCUCCCAUACCAGAGUGCCUGCCCAGAGUCCCAGUUCCUCCACUUCUGGUCCAGCUCCCUGCUGAUGGGUACACUGAGAGGCAGCAGAUGAUGCCUCGAGUACAUGGGUCCCUGCCCUGGGCUGCGUUCCAGGUUCCUGGCUUUAGCCUGGCCCAUCUCUGGCUGUUGUGGGCAUUUGGAGAAUGAAUCAGUAGAAGGAAGGUCUCUCUCCAUCUUUCUCACUGUCUCUCUGCCUUUUGAAUAAAAUGAAAAUCUUUAAAACUUUAAAAAUAAUACUUCUUAAAAAAGAAUUAUUUAUUUUGAAAGAGUUGCAGAGAGAGGUGGAAAGAAACAGUGAGCGAGAUCUUCCAUCUGCUGGUUCACUACCCAGAUGUCUGCAAUAGCCAGGGCUGAGCCAGCUUCACCCGGGUCUCCUACAUGGGUGGCAGGGACCCAAGCACUUGGACCAUCUUCAGCUGCUUUUUCCCCAGGCCAUUAGCAUGGAGCUGGAUCUGAAGUGGAGAAGCUGGAACACAAAUAGGCACCCAUGUGGGAUGCCGGUGUCACAAGCAGUAGUUUUACUCACCAUGCCACAAUACUGGCCCCCAAUAAAACAUUUGUUUAAUAAGUAGACUUUGAGGGGCUGGUGCUGUAGCACAGCAGGUUAACGCCCUGGCUCCCUGUCUCUCCUCUCUCUGUGUAACUCUGACUUUUGAAUAAAUACAAUAAAUCUUAAAAAAAGAUUCGAAAGACAGAGUUACAGAGAGAGAGUAGAGACAGAGAGAGGUCUUCCAUCCAUUGUGUUCACUCCCCAGAUGGCCAAAACGGCUGGAGCUGCACCGAUCCAAAGCCAGGAGCCAGGAGCUUCCUCUGGGUCUCCCACGUGGGUGCAGGGCCCAAGGACAUGGGCCAUCUUCUACUGCUUUCCCAGGCCAUAGCAGAGAGCUGGAUUGGAAGAGGAGCAGCCGGAACUAGCACCGGCACCCAUAUGGGAUGCCGGCACUUCAGGCCAGGCCUUUAACCUGCUGUGCCACAGUGCCGACCCCAUAAAUAAAUCUUUAAAAAAAACAUAGACUUUGACCAAGGAAUAUUGCUAGAGAUGAAGGUGGCACUGCAGUAUGAGAAAGGGGGCCAAUUUACUGAAGAGAUUUAACAGUAGCAAACAUCUAUGUGCUUAACAAUAGAGCUCCAAUACAUGGGAGGCAAAAGCUGACCCAACAAAUCCUUAGUUGUGGUUGAAAACUCCAGCAUUCCUCCCAGUAGCUGUAGAACAAGAAGGGAGAAAAUUAGUGGGAUGCAGAACCAAACAACCUACACCAACCUGACCCAACUCACAUUUACAGAGCAACCGUCCAAAAGCAACAGAAUCCCACUGUUUUCAAAUGCACGUGGAAGAGUCAGCAAAACAGAUCAUAUUCUGGGCCACAAAACAAACCUCCACAAAUCUAAAGGACUUAAAUCACACAAAGUAUUUUUGGACUAUAAUAGAACUAGUCUCUAAACCUGUUACCAUGAAGAGUUAAGAAAACUGCAUAUUUGGAAAUUGAACAUACUUCUCAAUAGUGCAUGGAUCAGAGAGGAAAUCCCAAGAUAAAUUAUAAAAUAGAAGUUGACUGAAAAUUAAAAACAAAAUCUGAAAGAUUCAAAAUCUUCUCUCAUCAGCAGAGUUGAACCUUUUUGUGCAGCUUGCCCAGGAAGGGGCAGGUUAAGCUGCUGCUUGCGAUACCAGCAUCCCAUAUUAGAGCACUGGUUUCAGUCCCAGUUGCUCUGCUUCUGAUCCAGCUCCCUGCUAAUGAGCCUGGAAAACAACUGAAGAUUGUUCAAGUGCUUGUGCUCCUGCCACCAAUCCAUCAAAAACCUACCAAGCACUGUCACAGUAAUCUGUUAGUAAGGUGGGGAGUAUUAUCUGAAAAAAGCCUUGAAUCAAGUCUACUGUCAAAAAUAUUUUUGUGGCAAUGUAUCUUUGUGUAUACUGAUUUUCUUGCAAAAUAGAUCGCCCAGGCAAAAUACCAUCCAGGAAUCACCUGCCUCUCUUAUAGACAAAUGAUAUCAGUUCUGGUCUGAGAAAAAAUUCACCCCAGUGAUGUCAGCUGCCAUGAUUACAUUGUACUCCAGUAAAUGUAAUUUGCUAAAGUCAUUUUAGCUUCUGUCCCAAACAGGUGCUUAC